CUUCCUCCUGCUGUGGGUGUGGUUCUGAGUCCACGGGGACACCUGUCAAGAUGUUCAAGUUCAUGUGUUAUGGAACAAAGAAUUGAACCAGAGACAGCAGUUUGGUGGUAGCAGUUUGUUAAGACAGAAGAAGUCGCUCCUGAAAAUGAAAAGCCACCCAGUGCCUGAGGUCAUUUCUCAGCUCACAGCAAGGUGACAUCCACUGACAGCCAUAUUGUCAUCAUCGGUUGAGAGAAGAACAAGACAAAAAGGAACAUCGCGGGAGUUGUCCUGCUGUCGGCCGAUUUCCCCCAGGUCUACGGGAGCUCCGGGAGAAGAAUUUCAUGGAGCCCAAACUGGCCUCGAACUCCCUAUGUAAUCAAGAACGACCUUAGAUUCUUCAUGCUACUGCCUCCACCAUCUCCAGAGCAUCAGGAUUACAUGCUUGCACUGCUACAGCAUUAGAUAACAUUUGAAAACUCUCAGAGAGCCCCUGUUCCCUUCUAAAAGCUGGAAGAUUCUGGUAGGAUGUAUAGAAUGCCCCAAACCAAGUUUCUUCUGUUCCUGGCACCAUUAUAGCCUGCCUUCUGUGACUCCAUUCCAUACACCUCUUUCUUCAAGUCUGUGGGGUCGGAGACAUAACUCAUUUGGUAAGUACUUGGUGCACAAGCAUGAGAGCCUGUUUGGAUCCCUAGAACCCACGUAAAAAUCAAAAGUGGUCGUGUACAUCUAUAACCCAAGAGCUGGGCGAGUAGAGAUAGGCAGAUCCUGGCCAGGACUUACUGGUCAACCAGUCUAGCUGUAUCAGUGACCUGCAGGUUCAUUAAAAGACCCUAACUCAAAAAAUAAGGUGGCAAGCAAUUGAAGAUGAGACUUGAUGAGGAUCCCUGGCCUCCACAUGCGUGUGCAUCAUGUAUACCAGCAUGCACACACACACAGAGAAACUCACAACCCACAACAGAUGCACAGGUGAGGGUAUACACAAAGAGGGAGAAGUGGGCUGUACAACAUUAGUAGGCAGUCAUCCUGAGCAAUGUUGUAUGGCAGAUACCGUGGAGAUUCACAGUAAGUGCUAACGAAUUAUGCGGAAAUAAAAGACCCAGCCCUGGAGACGUUCUUAGAAUUGACUGUAGAUAAUUCAACAUCAGAGCCCAGGUAUCCAUAAAGCAUGGAAGUUAUCUUAUUGGUAAUCAUAUAGUGGACUCCCAGCAACCCGUUUUCAGAAGCAUCCAAGUGCUCAACCUGAAAUAACAUAUAUACAAGUGACACUAUACAGACCAGACAGACUGCAUUUAUAUGUCUAGGAAUAUAUAACAACAGUUAAAGAAAAAGAAGCCAGAGGCCAUGAAUUUGAAAGAGAGCAAGGGAAGGUAUAUGGAAGGGGUUGGAGGGAGGAGAGAGAAUAGGGGAAAUUAUGUAAUUAUAUUUUAAUUUCAAAAAUUAAAAAAUAAUAUUUUUUUUUGAAAAGCUGAGUAUCACAUCUCACCCAUUGCUGUAGAGACAAUUUCCCUGGCCAAACAUAAACAAGGUAGCCUCCUUCCUUAUAGGUUCUAUGCCAGUUAGUUUCUGUCACCUUGAUAUAAACUAGAGUCACCUGGGAAGAGGGAACACAGCUGAGGAAUUGCCUCCAUCAGAUUGGCCUGUGGGCAUGUCUAGCGGGCAUUUUCUUGAUCAACGAUUGAUAUAGGAGGGCACAGCCCACUGUGGAUGGUGCCACCCUUGGGCACGUGGUUCUGGGAUGUAUAAAAAAGCAGGCUGAGUGAGCCAUGGCAACAAGCCAGUCAACAGUCAUCCUCCAUUCUUCAGUUUUUGCCUUCGGGUUUCUGCCUUGUUUGAGUUCCUUCCUUGGUAUCCCUCCCUCGUAUACUGUGAGCAAAAUA